CUGCUUCUAAGGUUUCCAUUACAGAUGCAAGAAGAAAGUUUCCUCGUGCUUUCUCUCGGUGGCAGCCAAGAUUGAAUAGGGGAACACAGAG
rnacentral:snoRNA from 1 species